UACGGAGGGUCCAAGCGUUAUCCGGAUUCAUUGGGUUUAAAGGGUGCGCAGGCGGAACUUUAAGUCAGUGGUGAAAUCUUGCCGCUUAACGGUAAAAUUGCCAUUGAUACUGAAGUUCUUGAAUAUGGUUGAGGUAGGCGGAAUGUGUUGUGUAGCGGUGAAAUGCAUAGAUAUGACACAGAACGCCGAUUGCGAAGGCAGCUUACUAAGCCAUGAUUGACGCUGAGGCACGAAAGCGUGGGGAGCGAACAGG
rnacentral:rRNA from 1 species